GUAGUUUGACUGGGGCGGUCUCCUCCUAAAAAGUAACGGAGGAGUACAAAGGUACUCUCAAUACGUUUGGAAAUCGUAUGUUGAGCAUAAGAGCAUAUGAGUGCUUAACUGUAAGAUAGACAUAUCAAACAGAUACGAAAGUAGGUUCUAGUGAUCCGAUAAUCCUGAAUGGAAAGGUUAUCGCUCAACGAAUAAAAGGUACUCCGGGGAUAACAGGCUAAUACUGCCCAAGAGUUCAUAUCGACGGCAGUGUUUGGCACCUCGAUGUCGGCUCAUCACAUCCUGGGGCUGGAGUUGGUCCCAAGGGUAUGGCUGUUCGCCAUUUAAAGUGGUACGCGAGCUGGGUUUAGAACGUCGUGAGACAGUUCGGUCCCUAUCUGCCGUGGGCGUAGGAAGAUUGAGAGGGAUUGCUCCUAGUACGAGAGGACCGGAGUGAACGCACCGCUGGUGUUCGGGUUGUCAUGCC
rnacentral:rRNA from 1 species